rnacentral:rRNA from 1 species
UCUACGGGAGGCUGCAGUGAGGAAUAUUGGUCAAUGGACGGAAGUCUGAACCAGCCAUGCCGCGUGCAGGAAGACGGCUCUAUGAGUUGUAAACUGCUUUUGUACAAGGGUAAACCUGAAUACGUGUAUUCAGCUGAAAGUACUGUACGAAUAAGGAUCGGCUAACUCCGUGCCAGCAGCCGCGGUAAUACGGAGGAUACAAGCGUUAUCCGGAUUUAUUGGGUUUAAAGGGUGCGUAGGCGGAUUGAUAAGUUAGAGGUGAAAUGUCCGAGCUUAACUCGGGAACUGCCUCUAAUACUGUUCGGCUAGAGAGUAGUUGCGGUAGGCGGAAUGUAUGGUGUAGCGGUGAAAUGCUUAGAGAUCAUACAGAACACCGAUUGCGAAGGCAGCUUACCAAGCUACUUCUGACGUUGAGGCACGAAAGCGUGGGGAGCAAACAGGAUUAGAUACCCUGGUAGUC